rnacentral:lncRNA from 1 species
GCUGACCACAGCUGAACCACCUGAAUGACAUCUGCCUGUAAAUUCCUUCCGCAGGGGAAUAAGAUUGAAGUCAGAGCAUGUGGAAAGUCUAAACCUACACAGAUGAGAGGUCGGAAGCUCAGAGAAUUGCAUAGCUAAUUGAUGCCAGAACUUGAACAGACUUCUGGAUCCAAGUUCAUGUGAUUUCUGAUCUGCUUUUCGAGCCUUAGACCUGUCCCCCAAAACUUGCUCCAUCAGAGCUUAUAACGAUUGUUCCAUCUUCAGUGGGGAUGGUGAAUGUCCAGCUGUCAUAAGGUUUUUCCAUAUGAUUUCUACAUUUUCAGCUUCCAAAGCAUACUCGUUAACAGCCAGCAGUUGUGUUGUCCUUGCC